rnacentral:lncRNA from 13 species
AUGAUUAGCAGCAUAUAUAAUAGAGGCAGCAGGAUAUAUAAUAGGGGCACCAGGAUAUAUAAUAGAGGCAGCAGGAUAUAUAAUAGGGGUACCAGAAUAUAUAAUAGGGGCACCAGGAUAUAUAAUAGGGGCACCAGGAUAUAUAAUAGGGGCACCAGGAUAUAUAAUAGGGGUACCAGAAUAUAUAAUAGGGGCACCAGGAUAUAUAAUAGCGGCACCAGGAUAUAUAACAGGGGUACCAGGAUAUAUAAUAGGGGCACCGGUGUAUAUAAUAGGGGCACCAGGAUAUAUAAUAGGGGCACCAGGAUAUAUAAUAGGGGCACCAGGAUAUAUAAUAGGGGCACCAGUGUAUAUAAUAGGGGCACCAGGAUAUAUAAUAGGGGCACCAGUGUAUAUAAUAGGGGCACCAGUAUAAAUAACAGGGGCACCAGUGUAUAUAAUAGGGGUACCAGUGUAUUUAUGUGAUUUGUCCCCGGUCCAUCCGGCUAGACAGACCAUUUAGUAUCAAUGAAAAGCAACAGUUAAUCUUGUUAGCGGUGAGGCGUAAAUUACUUGAAAGGCUUUUUACUGAAGGUUACACCACACCAACCAACAGUAUGGAAUGUGUGGUAUUUCCUGUGGAUGAAAUCACUUACCUUCGCCCUUUGCGUCACCCUUUCCUGCUCCACCUGCUCCUGCUGCGGCUCCUCGCUCCCCCUUGGCUGUGUUGUUGUUAUUGUUGUGAGAUGAUGAAAAUGUGGAGGGUCGUCUCUGUGUAAGGAAGACUCCAGGGGCCAUGGGUUGGGGCCCCCCAGCCUGCUUCCCUCCUGCCCCAGAGGAGUAUUCAUGGUCGGUCUGACCAGGCUCGGAGUCCCGGCCCGCGUCUGGUUCUGGAGAACUGCUGUCCAUACUCAGCUUCCUCACUGGCUCCUCCUCUUCCUCCUCCUCCCUCAAAGCAGCAGGGGGCUUCUUUUUUGUGCUCUUCUGCUUUUUCUUGGUCUUCUGCUGCUCCUUCUGGAAGAAACAAAUAUUAACACAGAACCCCAGAGCCCUGACCCUGAGGUGAUGACUAGAGGAACAUGACCCUGAGGUGAUGACUAGAGGAACAUAACCCUGAGGUGAUGACUAGAGGAACAUAACCCUGAGGUGAGAUGACUAGAGGAACAUGACCCUGAGGUGAUGACUAGAGGAACAUAACCCUGAGGUGAUGACUAGAGGAACAUAACCCUGAGGUGAUGACUAGAGGAACAUAACCCUGAGGUGAUGACUAGAGGAACAUAACCCUG